rnacentral:rRNA from 1 species
UACGUAGGGACCAAGCGUUGUCCGGAAUCAUUGGGCGUAAAGAGCGUGUAGGCGGCUUGUUAAGUCUUGCGUGAAAUCUCGGGGCUCAACCCCGAGCGGUCGUGAGAAACUGGCAGGCUAGAGUGCGGGAGAGGAGAGUGGAAUUCCUGGUGUAGCGGUGAAAUGCGCAGAUAUCAGGAAGAACCCCCGUGGCGAAGGCGGCUCUCUGGAACGCAACUGACGCUGAGACGCGAAAGCGUGGGGGAGCGAACGGG